AGAGUUUGAUCCUGGCUCAGAAUGAACGUUGGCGGCGUGGAUUAGGCAUGCAAGUCGCACGAGACACCAAUUAGCUUGCUAAGAGGCAGACAGUGGCGAAAGGGAGAGUAACGCGUGGUUACUUGCCCUCGAGACCGGGAUAGUGUCGGGAAACUGGCAGUAAUACCGGAUAACAUCUUCGGAUCAAAUGGUGUGAUUCCGCUCGAGGAUAGGACCGCGUACUAUUAGCUUGUUGGUGAGGUAACGGCUCACCAAGGCUGCGAUGGUUACCGGGUGUGAGAGCAUGGCCCGGCUCACUGGGACUGAGACACUGCCCAGACACCUACGGGUGGCUGCAGUCGAGAAUCUUCGGCAAUGGACGAAAGUCUGACCGAGCGACGCCGCGUGCGGGAUGAAGGCCCUCGGGUUGUAAACCGCUGUCGGUAGUUAGGAAAUCCAUGAGGGUUAUCUCUCAUGGUUGACCGAUCUUUAGAGGAAGGACGGGCUAAGUUCGUGCCAGCAGCCGCGGUAAGACGAACCGUCCAAACGUUAUUCGGUAUCACUGGGCUUAAAGCGUGCGUAGGCGGCUUGGUAGGUGAGAUGUGAAAGCCCACGGCUCAACCGUGGAAUUGCGUUUCAAACCCCCAAGCUCGAGGAAGAUAGGGGUGAUGGGAACUUAUGGUGGAGCGGUGAAAUGCGUUGAUAUCAUAGGGAACACCGGUGGCGAAAGCGCAUCACUGGAUCUUUUCUGACGCUGAGGCACGAAAGCUAGGGUAGCGAACGGGAUUAGAUACCCCGGUAGUCCUAGCCGUAAACGA
rnacentral:rRNA from 1 species